GCCCGAGUGGCGGAAUGGUAGACGCAGCGGAUUCAAAAUCCGCCGCCGCAAGGCGUGCGAGUUCGAGUCUCGCCUCGGGCACCA
rnacentral:tRNA from 3 species